UUUUUUUUAUUUUAAUGAUUUUUUCCCCCAUUAUAGCUGCUUUACAGUGUUUGGUCAAUUUUCUACUGUACAGCAAGGUGACCCGGUCAAACAUACAUGUGUACAUUCUUUUUUCUCACAUUGUUAUGCUCCAUCAUAUGUGACUAGAUAUGGUUCCCAGCAUCUUUCUUUCCCUUCCUUCCUUCCUGUCUUUCUUUCUUGGCUGCCUGAUGGCAAAUGGAGCUCCCAGGCCAGGGAUCAGAUCUGACCUGCAGUUGUGACCUAUGCCGAAGCUGCAGCAACACCAGAUCCUUUAAGCCACUGUGCCCGGCUGGGGAAUCUAACGUGCGUCCUGGCACUGCAGCGACAGCACUGAUCCUGUUGCCCACAGCGGGAACUCCCAUCCAAGUAGCUUUUAAUCGUAUGUUUAUUAAAGGGCCAAAUCAGAAUCUUUCUCUUCCAGUAAAAAGGACCAGGAUGGAAUGGGAAACCCUGUCCACUUGGAUUUAUUUAUUUAUUUUAUUUAUUUUUUGUCUUUUUAGGGCCACACCCAUGGCAUACGGACGGUCCCAGGCUAGGGGUCAAAUUGGAGCUGCAGUCGCUAGCCUACACCACAGCCACAGCACUUCAGCCCUCUAACCAGCCCUCCAACCAGCCCCUCUAAUCAGUCCCUCUAAGCAGCCCUCUAAGCAGCCCUCUAAGCAGCCCUCUAUGCAGCCCCUCUAACCAGCCCCUCUAACAAGCCCUCUAACCAGCCCUCCAACCAAGCCCUCCAACCAGCCCUUCCAAUGUCCUCCUAAUUCUCAACCGUGGGGCUCUGAGGACCUACAGGGGCUCUUCCCAAUCCCCCCCCUUAAGUGAUGUGGAGAAACAUCUGGCGAUGGGGGGCGAGUCCCUUCCAGUCCUAACCGACACCAGAGCCGCACUCUCAGUGCUCCCUCCACUGCUACAAAGCAGCCCCUGCCCCAAAGGCCUGACACAGCUCAGAUAGUGGGAUGGCUAAUGAAUCUCAAGAGGUUCCUGUCACCGAACCUACUCCCUUCUGCUCAGGCCCUUUGAGAAAUGCACACCCUCUGGUGGAGGCCGGCAGCUGCAGCUCCGAUUCCACCCCGAGCCUGGGAACCCCCAUACGCUGCGGGUGCGGCCCUAAAAAAAAAAAAAAGCAAAAUAAAUAAAUAAAUAUAAGAAAUAAGACUCAACUGGCAAGGUUUUAGAGGCCUUCCCAAUGGCUUGGUCUCAAGCAUGGCUGUUGGUCCUUCUAGAUCUUAGAUCCACCUCUUCAGGAACUCAUUAAAGUCUCACUCUUUGAGAGAGUCCUAGGACGCCUGAUGCACUUGGCUCUUGCCUCUUUAUUUACAGCUGAUAAAAGAUGAGAUAGUCCAACAUUGCAAAGGCCUAAUUGCUUCCAUUAAAAACAACACCACUAUGGUUUUUUUUUUUCUUUCUGUCUUUUUGUCUUUUCUUGGGCCGCUUCCUGCAGCAUAUGGAGGUUCCCAGGCGAGGGGUCGAAUCAGAGCUAUAGCCGCUGGCCUACACCAUAGCCAUAGCAACAUGGGAUCCGAGCCGUGUCUGCGACCUACAACCCAGCUCACAGCAAUGCCAGAUCCUUAACCCACUGAGCAAGGCCACGGAUCGAACCCGCAACCUCAUGGUUCCCAGUUGGAUUCUUCAACCACUGAGCCAUGACAGGAACUUCAACAACACCACGCUUUGAUAGAGCAACCCUUUCACAGUGCCCUCCUGGGAGACAAAGACCUAAAGCAUCACACCUUGCAGCCUGGAGCUUUUGUCUGUUGGAAAAGAUGCCGCCAGAAGGACUGUCUUCAGCCUCACGGGAAAGGCCCCUAUCAAGUACUGCCAACCAACUGUCGUGCCACCAAACUCCAAGGAAAAGACCUGUGAAUUCACAUGACGCACCUAAAGAAGGCGUGUCACACCUAAACCCUGACCAGAACUGCUUAUCACCUGGUGGCCUGAAAAUAAAGAUUUACUAGAACUGAAGCUGAUGAGACAUCCGAUGAGACAGCUUCCCCAAGAUAUCUAGACUGAGCCUGUUGGCAGUUGGUCACCAAAACUGUGACAAUGACUUAACACUUCGGAUGAGCUCCCUGUUUCUUGAAUGUGACCUUGAUAGGUUUCCGAUCCCUGCACUUCCCCUCUGAUGUGGAACACUAAGCCCAGGAAAGAAUCUUCCUGAUAGUGAAAGAUAAAAAGCCACUGAAACUGUUCCUGAGAUGGCGCAACAGGAUCGGCGGCAUCUUGGCAGUGCUAGGACACAGGUUUGAUCCCCGUCCGGGCACAGUGGGCUAAGGAUCUGAUGUUGGUGUAGCCAUGGCAUAGGCUGCAACUGCAGCUCAGAUCUGAUCCCUGGCCCGGGAACGCCAUAGGCCACAGGACAGCCAAAAAAAAAAAAAAAAAAAAAGCCACUGAAACUAACAAAGCUCAUGAUUAGCAAGGCUUUCACAGAAAGAUCUUGAUCAAAAGGGGUAAAUGUAUAAAAUUAAUCAACAGAAACCUCAGUUAGAUAGAGUCAGGAGACCAGAAGGGGUGCUCUCAGACCCUAAAAGGAAGAAGGAAGAUUGCUUUCUUGGCAAGGACUUGGGCAGAAAAACACCAUGGGCUCUCUGUUUAUUUUAGUUGUCCCAGUGUUACUCAACGUGUGUGCCUGACCGCAGUG
rnacentral:lncRNA from 1 species